rnacentral:lncRNA from 1 species
AUGGAGCAGCUCUCAUUUCUAGAAAUAUGGACAAAUUUAUUAAACCCCCCAAAAUAUGACUAUCCAGAGUUGGGACCAGGAAGCAGAGUUCCAGUCUUACACGCCUCUCUCCUCCUGCUACCCCCCCAAAAACCCAUCUCCAUUGAGACUGUGUCAGCUCCCAAACAGACAAAAAACAAACUAAAAACCAGCAACAAACAACUUAAACAUAAAAAAUCACAAAGAAAGAACAAUACAGUAUCCACAUGUGAACCAAAGAGUAAAACAGUGAAAUGUGGAUUAUUAAAUAUUAGGUCUCUCUCCUCCAAGUCUCUGUUAGUACAUGACUUAAUAAUUGAUCAACAAAUCGAUUUACUUUGCCUUACAGAAACCUGGUUGCAGCAGGAUGAUUAUGUUAGUUUAAAUGAAUCAACACCCCCGAGUCAUUCUAACUACCAGAAACCUCGAAGCACAGGCCGAGGGGGCGGUGUGGCAGCAAUUUUUCACAUCAGCCUAUUAAUUAACGAAAGACCAAGACAGACUUUUAAUUCAUUUGAAAGCCUGAUGCUUAGCCUCGUCCACCCCAGCUGUAAAACUCAGAAACCAGUCUUACUUGUUAUCAUCUAUCGUCCACCUGGGCCUUACACAGAGUUUCUCUCUGAUUUCUCAGACUUUUUAUCUGAUUUAGUGCUCAGCUCAGAUAAAAUAAUGAUUGUGGGUGAUUUUAACAUCCAUGUAGAUGCUAAAAAUGACAGCCUCAACAUCGCAUUUAAUCUGUUAUUAGACUCAAUUGGCUUCUCUCAAAAUGUAAAAGAACCCACCCACCACUUUAAUCACACUCUAGAUCUUGUUUUAACAUAUGGCAUAGAAAUUGAACAUUUAACAGUGUUUCCUGAAAACCCUCUGCUGUCUGAUCAUUUCCUGAUAACAUUUACAUUUACAAUAAUUGAUUACACAGCAGUGGAGAGUAGACUUUAUCAAAGUAGAUGUCUUUCUGAAAGUGCUGUAACUAAGUUUAAGAAUAUAAUCCACCCACUGUUAUCAUCUUCAAUGCCCUGUACCAACAUAGAGCAGAGCAGCUACCUGAACGCUACUCCAACAGAGGUCGAUUAUCUUGUUAAUAAUUUUACCUCCUCACUACAUACGACUCUGGAUACUGUAGCUCCUGUGAAAACUAAGGCCUCAAAUCCGAAGUACCUGACUCCGUGGUAUAAUUCUCAAACACGUAGCCUAAAGCAGAUAACUCGUAAGCUGGAGAGGAAAUGGCGUGUCACAAAUUUAGAGGAUCAUCAUUUAGCCUGGAGAAAUAGUUUGCUGCUUUAUAAGAAAGCCCUCCGCAAAGCCAGAACAUCUUACUAUUCGUCACUGAUUGAAGAAAAUAAGAACAACCCCAGGUUUCUCUUCAGCACUGUAGCCAGGCUGACAAAAAGUCAGAGCUCUACUGAGCCAACAAUCCCUUUAACGUUAACUAGUAAUGACUUCAUGAACUUCUUCACAAAUAAAAUUCUCAUCAUUAGAGAAAAAAUUACCAAUAAUCAUCCCACAGAUGUAAUAUUAUCUACAGCUACUUUUAGUACCAUCGAUGUUAAGUUAGACUCUUUUUCUCCAAUUGAUCUUUCUGAGUUAACUUCAAUAAUUAAUUCCUCCAAACCAUCAACGUGUCUUUUAGACCCCAUUCCUACAAAACUGCUCAAAGAAGUCCUGCCAUUAAUUAAUGCUUCAAUCUUAAAUAUGAUCAACCUAUCUCUAAUAAUGGGCUAUGUACCACAGGCCUUCAAGGUGGCUGUAGUUAAACCUUUACUUAAAAAGCAUCUCUAG